rnacentral:rRNA from 1 species
CCUACGGGAGGCAGCAGUGGGGAAUAUUGGACAAUGGGGGGAACCCUGAUCCAGCCAUGCCGCGUGUGUGAAGAAGGCCCUCGGGUUGUAAAGCACUUUCAGUGAGGAAGAACGCCUGGUGGUUAAUACCCAUCAGGAAAGACAUCACUCACAGAAGAAGCACCGGCUAACUCCGUGCCAGCAGCCGCGGUAAUACGGAGGGUGUGAGCGUUAAUCGGAAUUACUGGGCGUAAAGCGCGCGUAGGUGGCUUGAUAAGCCGGUUGUGAAAGCCCCGGGCUCAACCUGGGAACGGCAUCCGGAACUGUCAAGCUAGAGCGCAGGAGAGGAAGGUAGAAUUCCCGGUGUAGCGGUGAAAUGCGUAGAGAUCGGGAGGAAUACCAGUGGCGAAGGCGGCCUUCUGGACUGACACUGACACUGAGGUGCGAAAGCGUGGGUAGCAAACAGGAUUAGAUACCCCUGUAGUC